CAUAGGCUUCUACCCGGACUUUUAUGAACUCGAGAACCC
rnacentral:rRNA from 14 species